AAACAAAGCAUUUUGUUCUCUAAGUUUUAGUUUCUGAUUAAUGUGUGGUACUAUAUUUGUCGUGUACCGUAUUUUGUUGUUUAUACUUGUUCUCACAUGCCUUUUCUAUUUAACAUUUUUCUCUGUUUGCUUUCGUCUAUGGAAUACUAAAGUUUCCAACAUCUUUUGUCUUUAUGUUAAUUAUUUUAUUAACUCCAAUAUAACAUUUCGUUUUCUUUUCUUCUCUCUCAUUUGUUUCCCCCCAUCUUUUCUCUCAUUUCCUCUUACGUUUUUUUCUUCAGCCGCAUUUAAAAAAACUGAUUUUUUUAAUACAUUCUUUUCCGUCG
rnacentral:lncRNA from 1 species